UUCCCUGGAUAAUGGGUUGCAAGCUGUAAGAUGAAAUGAACUUUCUUCCCCAAGUUGCUUUUGACCCUAGUGUCUUUUUCACUGUGAUAGAAACAUUAAGUGAGAUAAAAUGUGUAUGUCAUUAGCCACAACGUUAUUUUUAGGGGAUUAAAGUAACAUUUUAAUAUAAAUACAGAGACAGAAAACAAGAACCAGGUGGCUUCUUUCUAUUGUGACAAACCUCCCUUAAAUGCUGUCCUGAUCGUCACACAAUUUGCAAAGGAACAACUUUUUAAUGUACCAAGAUAUUUUAGGAUUGUUGUGAAGUUCUUUUUGUUUGUUUGUUUGUUUUUGCUUUAGGAAAUGAAAUCUUAAGAGACUUGAUGUUUGCUUAAAAUCUUUACGGUGACAUUUGGUUUGCAGUGGUGGAAAAUGUCAUGCCAAGAACAGAGAAGCAUCUCUGGGACAAGGGAAUGGAAGAAGAACCCAGAAGGCUGAUUGUGGAAUGUAUGCUUAUCACUCAGGGUUUGACAAAGGCCAGAAGAAGACAUUGGAGCCCUAGAGUCAACUUAAUGAUGGCUGUGACCCACCGUGUGGGUGCUGGGAACUGAAUCACGCACUCGGCAAGGGCAGCCAGCGCUCGUAACCACCAAGCCUUUUCUCUGGCUCCUGUGGAGGACUCUCACACAGCCCAGGCUGGAGUCGCUGUUGCUGCUUAUCCAAGGCUGGCCGUAUAACCCUGAGCCUCGCCUUUUGGUCCCUGGUGCUGGGAAUUACAGGCGAGCACCACCACAUCUAGCUUAAUAAAUGGCCUCUGCUUCUCUGAUA